rnacentral:rRNA from 1 species
UACGUAGGGUGCGAGCGUUGUCCGGAAUUAUUGGGCGUAAAGAGCUCGUAGGCGGUCUGUCGCGUCUGCUGUGAAAUCCCGAGGCUCAACCUCGGGCCUGCAGUGGGUACGGGCAGACUAGAGUGAUGUAGGGGAGACUGGAAUUCCUGGUGUAGCGGUGAAAUGCGCAGAUAUCAGGAGGAACACCGAUGGCGAAGGCAGGUCUCUGGGCAUUAACUGACGCUGAGGAGCGAAAGCAUGGGGGAGCGAACAGG